GGCCCUCUUCCCUUCCCCCAUCCUUUAUAAGAAUAGCCAUGAAGCAAUUUCCCACAACCUUCCAUUCUCUUGCCAAGGAACAGCUGGCACUAAGCUCUCUCUUCUGACCCCAGUGUCCUGGACACUGGUGGUAAUGGCCAAGGGAGCUUGGCCAGCUGAGACCCUUUCUGUCUGGGGAGGCCUGACUCAGCUCAAUGGAGUGCCGGUGUGGCCAGAUGAUGUGACUGUCCUAGGGCACAGAGUCUCUUGGGGGCCUGGACCUUAGGGAAGCUCUUCUGUUCCUAGACUCAGGAGAAAGUUUUGACCUUCCUAAUGCCUUCUCUGUUUGGCCAUUGGACUUCAUUCUUUCUCGCACCCCCAGCCGUGGGGAAGCCAUCCAUGUGAGAAGAAGGCUGCAGGCUCCCUGAAGCCCUCCCGCAAACCUCCAGCUAAGAAGUCCUGCUCUCAGUUUCCAAUUCAGACCGCACACCUGGCCUGCCUCCCCUGAGCCGUGCCGUCCCCCACCCUGCAUGCCCCACCCCUGCCCUGGCUGACCCCAUUAAGAUCCUCGGCCCUUCUGGUGCUGGGCCCUACCCACUUGGGAGUGUCCUCACCUGCCUCCCCUGUACAGGCCACCCCAGGGUGAAGCUGCCUCUGUGUGAAGCCGGGCGGCUGGAUUGGAGGCUGUGAGGCCCCAAAACCUGCUAUAUUGGGUUCCCUUUCCGCCCUGUGAGGUGGACCCUGAUGGUGCACACCAGCCACAGGAAAGCUCAUGGGACCUUCUGCCUCCCUCUGUCUCAGUGGGAGGAGGCAGGGGCCCUGCACCUGCUCAUGCCACAGCCAACCCAGUGUGGGCCUCAUUCAUCUCACGUCCUCAUGUAACCCCUCCUGUGGGUCUGGCCCUGCUCCAGUUGGGGGGAUCUGGUGUGAAUACAGCACUGUCCCUGCCCUCAUGGAGCCCUCCCUCUGGUGUGGCGACAGACAGGACACUGGCAGAAUACAGGGUCUGGUGGUGGUGGUGCUGUGAAGAAUACUGAAGCCAUCUAGAGGGAGACAGGGUGGCCACAGUUGCUAUUUUGGGUAGAGGGGUCAGAGAAGGCCCCUCUGAGGAGGUGACAGCUGAGCAGAAGCCACUGACUUCCCAGUGGGCCUGAGGUGCUGGAACAGCAACUCUAGGUGAGUUUUCACAGAACCGAUGUCAGGGUUGUCUGGGUCUGAGGGGGGCAAGCAGAACACAGCUUGCUGGAUCUGCCUUGGGAUCUGGGGACCUGGGCCCAAGUCUGUACAUCUCGUUGGACAUACGGGUGGUUACCUCCAAGCCCGGAGGUCUCAGCCCAGCCAGGAGGCUCAUGCCAAGAGAGCAUUUGUGGAUGAGGCUUGGCAAGGGAGACACUGGAGGACCUGGAGUGUCCCAGUGUUCGCUGGGCAGCUUCUCCUUCCUCCCCCGACUCUUGCCCUGACUGCCCCAGCUGCAAAAACUCAUCUCCCAAGAAGGCCCAGGCCAAUGUGCCCAAACCACUCCUCUCCUGGGGCACAGUCUCAUCAGGGGGACUGACGGUCAGGCCUUGGAAGAAGGGAAUGGGAGGAAGGAGCGGGGAGUGGUGGCAGCUGGCCAGCCAGCUCUGUCCUCACCAGCCUGUGAACGUAACCCAGAGCAAGGCUGGCGUGAGAGAAGCCCCCUCCUGUUGGGCUGGGCCUGAUCUCCACCCUGCAGAUAGACAUCUGUACCUGGCUGGAUGCUGACGGCCCACAGCGGGCCUGUGAGCCCUGCACCAGGUGGAGGAGUGGGGGCAGGGCUCUGAAUGGCCUGGCACCCCCCUUCCUGGUCUGCCUUAGCUGAGGGCCUGCUCCUGGGAGCUGAGUGACCCUGGCCUCAGCACCAGGGCCCUGCCCUCUUGCAGCAUUCCUGUCCCUUAUGAUGUCACCUAGAUGAAGACCAGUUUCCUGCACACCUCCCCUCCCAGCACACAAAAAAAUAAUUCAGCUCAGGCCUCCUAAUUUUAGAAUGGCUCAAGGAACAUCAGUAGAGGGUCUGUCUUGGAAAAUGUUUUAAACGUAGGUAUCACGACACCAGCUUGGAUUCAGAUCUCUUUUCGGUUGUCCAACUACUUGCUUGAGCCCUUCUUGCCCCAAAUUAGCAAAACACCAAAUAUGUUUCUUUUAGAGACUACUAGCCUUGCCUCAAAAUUGUUGUAGUAUCCCAGAAGGCUGACGCAGAAUAGAGGGAAGUCCCAUAGCUGAACACCAAGCCAAAAAAAAGAACUUGGAGUAUCAGAUGGAGAAUUAGCCCAGCUCUCCACGUCCUAUCACUUUAGAAAAAUUCAUCUUUCCUUGGAAAAUGACAGAAUAAUAGCUAGCAUUUGCUAAGGUGAGUUCUGCCCUGGACAUUUUCUGUUAUUCACAUGCAAUAAUUCAUUUAGCCCUCCCAAGAACCUGACGAAGUGGUUGCUAUUUUAUUCCCAUUUCAUAGGGAACUGAGCUCAGGGAGAAAUCAAUUCCACUGCCUUCCACAGUGAGGCCAAAUUAGCUAGAGUGACCCCCCAAGUCCCCUGGGGUGUCCUUUCCUUCCAGCCAUACUCAACUGGGGCUCUCAGAUCCAUCCGUAGGAGAGGUUUUAAUAACCUCUCCAGGAUUUCUGUCCCUUUCCUCCCAGAAGUCUUCUUGGCUUCCAAGCAGAGAAUGGCAGCCCAGAGAACCAGGUCAUACCCCCUGGAUGAGGCCUGGCCCCAGGUUCUGUCUCACUCGGCACCAGUCCAAAAUAAAUCAUUUCAUUAGAGUUAAUAACAUAGUCCCUUUAACAGCAAAGUGUUUCCAAAUAGAGGGCCCUCCAGUCUGCUUUAAUGAACAGAUAAGAAUCUUUGUAAUUAACUCAGUGAUGGCUUGCAUGUAAAUGGGUAUUCUGAGUGCUGUGAGACUGUUUAUUGUUUUAGGUGUGGGGUAAAUAUGCUCCUGACCAUUCCCCUCUCCAGCAGGCUCCUAUCCAAUCAACCACCCCUGAAGGUUAUUUAUGCAGUCCGGCAGCAGCCCCCUCUGUAGAGACCCCAGUGGGUAGGCUAGAGUGUGCGCAUGCAUACAUGUAUGCACUUAGAGAGUUUUUGUGAGUGUGCAUGUGUGUGUGCAGGAGGUGCAUGCCUCCGUUCGUGCAUGCCUGUGAGGUUGGGCACCCACCAGAGCGACUUCUUUUGACAAAGGCAGUACUUUAACCACUGGGUACAUUUGGUGAUUUGUUUUGUUGUGUCUGUUCCUAGAGUGGCAUUUCCUGGGGUGGAGGGUCAUCUCGUGGCUCUGGCAUCUCUGGAGAUUUUCUCGAAAAGCUGCAGCUGCUGGAAUGCGCUUUGCUCCCCUUCUCCCAUGGCUCCCCUUCCUGGGGCAUGUGGUCCCUGCCAGAGGGCUAACCACAGGCCAGCUCCUCUCCCCAGGGCCUGCCCCUUCCCUUGAUAGACAGCCAUCCCACAGCAGGUCUGGAAUCUGGAACUGUGCCUGGAGUGGGAGGGGAACAGACUGCAGAUGGAGGACCCACAGGCAAGUGUGUGUAAAAGAGGAGGCUGGAACAGUGACCUGGCUCCCCUAAGCCUUGAUGAACUGCAUCCCACCAGGGGAGGGGUGGGCUCCAGGGGCUGCCUCUUGGAGGGGUGGAGUGUAUGUGGAGGUAGAGGUGAGGAGUAAAUGAUAAGAAGGGGCAGAGGGAGCUGUUAAGCAAGAAGGUGCUUCACUCGCCAUCUCACUCAGCCAGCAGCUCUCCACCCUCUCUGCUCCCUGCAGGCCUGGGGUGUGGUCUGCAGGUGGAGUCCACUCUUAGGGCAGGUGCUGGGCCCAGAGGUCCUGGGCAGGGAGCUGCUCGCUUUCCCUUUGCUCCCUGUCAACUCUCCUCUCAGGCAGGGCCACCUGGUGGGAAGCUGCAGGGAGCAGCCCAGUGACCCUGACUGUGAGUGUCAGGGGGCCUGGUGUUGUUUGCAAUGGAGAAGAAAAUCAUUCUUGAAUUUCAGGGCGUCAGAAAGGAAGGGCACUUCUAGCUCCACAGUGGGGCUCAGCGGGCAGCCUAAGGUCACACAGGAAGGCCGCAGGGGAGCCGGGGCUCAGGCCCUGCCGGCCUCACUCUUCAUGGGGCCCAUUCUGCCCUCCAGCCCACCAAGCUAUCAGAAGGGGGUUGUCAGAACCCCUGUGCUUGAAUCCACACUGCGUGCAUGGGGCACAGAGGGUCCGUCUGGGGGGACCCUCAGACAACAUCUAGUUCAGACGCUCGUCACACAGAGGAGGCCCAGAGACUCAUGCCAGGCCACACUGCAAGUGGGGGUGCCCCCAGGACUGGAAGCCAAGCCCCUUAGCCCCAAUCCAGGCCCCCUCCCUGUGCUCCAGGCCCGUCUUCCUCCCUGAGAGGUGAGAAGGGUUGAGUCCCUCUCCCCCCUCUCCCACCUGCUCCAUAGCAGUGCCUCCCCCGCAGCCCAGGGCUUCUCCAGGGUCCCCUGACGAGGGUCACUUCCUCCCCUCCCCACACCCGCUGGGCUAGGCCAGGCCCCUGCAGGGCUCCAUCCCUCACAGGGACAAAUCCAUCCUAUCUCCUAACCCUCAAGUGUUUGUUUUUGACUUCCCAGCCAUGCUCUAGACCCUUCCUAAUGGCUCUCCUCAACCCCACCUGCCACCCUGUCCGUGCUGGGUUUCCGGAUCAACUGGCUUGCUCCCCCAUUUACUUUAUUCCACCUGCUCCAUGGGCCAAGUGCCCGCGUAGAUUACUUUGCACUUAUUCGGACCUGUUUGUGUGCACGAUGUUUCUCCGGGGUGUGCCGAGGCUCCCUCAGCAGACUAGGGUUUGUUAGGGGCAGGUAGCUUGCUCCCCUCAGCCAGGGAGCUGCUGGAGGACAGGUCUGCACCUCUGCUGUAAGGCUGGGGGUGCCCGUGGAACAGAAUCUGGGUCUCUUCCAUCAGGCUAGGAGCUCCCUGUGGGCAGGGGAUGGGCAGCUUGAACUUCCAAGCCCUUCGCCAGGGACUCGCUGUCUCUCUGGCCACCCAGGGAGAGCUCCCACUGACAUCCCACUCCUGCCCCCUCACUGUGCUCCUCCCCGCGCACGGAGUGGCAAGUCCCGAGCCCAGGGCACCUGCCUGUGGCGGCAGCAUGUCAGGUGGCAGAGCUGGCAAAGCUUUGCAGACAGCAGAGGGCCCCUGAAGCCUGGUACCGCCCCCCACCAGCAGCUCUAACAGGGUGGAGGGUGGGGGGUGUGAACUGGCAGGGCUGGGUGGUGCCCAGGGCUUCACACUUUAAGUCUUGAGAACCAUCAAGACUGAAGGCACUAGAGAGACAGUCUGGCCCUGGAUUCCAACGGAAGGUCCUGGCUUGUUCUAGGUACAGGCAGUGCCAGGCUCACGGCCACGCGGCAGAGGACCCCCACCAAGCCCCUGGACUCCCAGCUGGGUGCUCGUGCCACUCCUCCAGGUCCCCCUGAGGAGUGUAGUAUGGGCAGUGAGAGGACAUGGAACCAGGAGCCACUGCAACUUGAAUUUGAAUCCUGCCUCUGCUGUUGAGUUGCUGUGGGGCAUGAGACAAAUUAUAUAACUUGUCUGAGCCCCAACUUUGUUAUCUGUAGAAUAGAUACAAUAGUAGCACCUACCUUAUGUGGUUAUUGUGAAGAGUCCAUGAAUGAUGGCUAUAAAGUUGUUAGUACAUAGUGAGCUCUUAAUAUUAGCGAUUGUUACUUAAUACUCUUACUUCCCCUGUGCUUGGCACUCUGUCACAUUUUUGGCAAGGAUGCAACUGACACUCACCAAGCUACUGUGGUAGGGGUGGGCGCUUAGUGGAUGGCCUCAGCUUUCCAGUUUCUCUUGCUUAGGCCCCAGAGGCUGAAGGGAGAGGGCAGGUGCAUGCUCACCCCCACCUUCCUCUGCUGGGCAUCUGUCAAUGUGCAGUGAGUUGUCCUUACAAGCCCAGCUCAGCGCCUUGCUCAGCAGAGCCCUGCUGCCUCUCUGCUUGCAGAGGGCCGGGUGGUGGUUGUGACAGUCAGCUGGGGGUGGAGUUCCCAGUAGAGGAGGGACUGGUCCCUCUAGCAAUGGCAGAGAGGCCAUAGUGUUCACGAUAUUCCAUCUGCCCCUGCACACCGUCCAUGAUCUAUGCCUUCAACAGGGGUCUCACAGCCUGUCCCCAUCACUGAGCACAUCAAAUCUUUAGAGACCAUUCUCCAUUCCUCUCACCUCCAAAUCUCUCCAACCUCAUCCCCUUUGAUGUCCAAUGUUGCUUCAGGAUGCAGCAAAAAGAGGGUAGAUUUGUAGCUGCCCCCCAGGUCACUUCUAAGCCAGAGACCAAGGGCAAGUUACUUGCCUUCUCUGUGUUUCUGUCUCUUCAUCUAUAGAAUGGGAGUAAUAUUUCUUAUCUGUCUAGAUUCUUGUUAUCAAUAAAGGUGUUUAAAACAGUAGGGCCUCUUCAGGAAAGUCAGUGGACACCACCUACUAGUGGUAUUUCCAUGCUUGUACAAAUGGGGAAGCAAGGGCCCAGAGCUGGUGAUGUACUGACUGAAGAUCAUACAGCUAAUGCAUUGUCAGACCCCAGAAGUUUCUGCCAACUUCUGAGGAAGGUUCAUCUAUCCAAGGAUUUUCCUUUCUCUGGCCUAUUUGUUAUAUUUUCCACUUUCUCUAUUUUACUCCAAGACCUCUCCCUCUCAUUCUGAAGACCUCCUUUAAGGGAAGCACAGUGCCUCCUUUAAGGGAAGCACAUUGUCAAUAUUUGUUGAAGACAGGCAUGGAGGUGC